rnacentral:rRNA from 1 species
AUUGAACGCUGGCGGCAGGCCUAACACAUGCAAGUCGAACGGUAACAGGAAACAGCUUGCUGUUUCGCUGACGAGUGGCGGACGGGUGAGUAAUGUCUGGGAAACUGCCUGAUGGAGGGGGAUAACUACUGGAAACGGUAGCUAAUACCGCAUAACGUCGCAGGACCAAAGAGGGGGACCCUCGGGCCUCUUGCCAUCGGAUGUGCCCAGAUGGGAUUAGCUUGUUGGUGGGGUAACGGCUCACCAAGGCGACGAUCCCUAGCUGGUCUGAGAGGAUGACCAGCCACACUGGAACUGAGACACGGUCCAGACUCCUACGGGAGGCAGCAGUGGGGAAUAUUGCACAAUGGGCGCAAGCCUGAUGCAGCCAUGCCGCGUGUAUGAAGAGGGCCUUCGGGUUGUAAAGUACUUUCAGCGGGGAGGAAGGGAGUAAAGUUAAUACCUUUGCUCAUUGACGUUACCCGCAGAAGAAGCACCGGCUAACUCCGUG